rnacentral:rRNA from 1 species
AUGGAUCAGACGUGCAGGAGGUGCAGCUCCGCAUGGAUCACGAUGUGGUCGUCGUGGGGGUCUGGAUCAUCAAGUCCUCAGGUGGCGUCGGGGGCAGUGCAAUGCCAGCUGCUGGACAUAGUUCACCCUGGGUUGGUGCUGAUGCACAAGGUGAAUUUCGAUGCCAAGACGGACUAUGACAUGAUCCAGAACUACAGGAUUCUCCUGGAUGUGUUCAACAAGUUGCAGAUAUUCAAGGUACGGGUGGUGAUUCUCCUGGAUUAG